rnacentral:tRNA from 1 species
GGGCGAGUAGCCGAAUUGGUACAGGCGCACGGCUUAGGACCGUGUGGAGCAAUCCGUGAGGGUUCGAGUCCCUCCUCGCCCACAA